AAUUUCUGAAUCAAAUAAUAAAUAUAAUAUUAAUAAUAAUAAUAACAAUAAUAAUAAUGAUAUUUAAUUGUAAUAUAAAUAUAACUUUAGAUUUUUAAAUUUGAAUCCUCCAAUGAUGACAAUCGAAAAUUCCUAGUUCAUUUAUAUAGAAUUUAAAAUUCCCUAUAAAAUUUACUAGGCACUGAUGCCAGGGGCCGUAUUCUCGAAUCGAUGACCCUAGAUGUCGCAUGCGACAGACCAUUCGAGAUGGAAAAAGCUAUUCUCGAACGCUUGUCGCAUGCGAGAUUUCAUGUCGUAUGCGAUAAUUUCCGAAUGGUUCAUCUCGAGUGGGUAGUGGCCAUUCGAGAUGCAAAGUCGUAUACGAAAUGCUAGUAAAAAAUAAGGUUGUGUGUCAUCCUUGUAAUAAACGUAUAUAAUAUAAAGUAGUAUUAGUGUACAUGAACCGCAUGCUAAAGUAGAAAAACUAUACAAAAUAACCUAAAUGUAAUGUUUAAGAAUUAAAAGUAAACUUGUGAAAUAAAAGUUUAAUUUCUCUUCCUCCUCAAUUAUGAUUGGCAGAUAAGUAUUUGGAAACGACGGCAACAAUGUAUGAAUGUCGCACACGGAAAUUUUCGAACAACCUAUCUCGAACGGUCAUUGAGAAUAGACUUUCAGAGUCGCAUGCGACAUUAACCAUUCGACAUUUUACGCAUGCGAGAAUUGUCGAAUGCUUUCGAGAAUACGGCCCCAGAUGCCACACGAACAUUGAUCAUUGUGAUAAAGAAGAUUUCUACCAAAAUUAGAUUUGGCAAUAUCGUGUUAAUUAAAAUUCUUCAUUAUGCAGAAUAUAUCAAAUGAUUAUUCUCGACUUUUGAAUUUCAUUCAAUAUAUAUAUAAUUUAGUUUAUUGAGGAUUCGUGUAUCUAGUCAUAUCUAAAUUAUGUAUUCGGCAUAAUGAGCAUUCGGGACUUAUGUUUUUGGUACAGACGGUCGCACCCCAAAACUAGGUCUAUGAUAAAAUAAUACAAUCUACGUACACGGAGAGAAAUUUGAACCGUAAAAGACCAUAGAGAUAUUAUAAAUAGAGUGGGGAAGGUAUAGGCGGCAGCGUGUGGGGGAAGUGUCCUGCCAUAAACAGAAUGGGUUGGAGGGAGAAAGAAGAUUUAACACCAGUAUCUGUCCUUCAAUGAGCUCCAGCGCAAGAGAGACACCUACUGGUGCUAAAUCUUCUUUCUCUUUCUAUCAGGCGGACGCAUACAUGCAAACCAUCCCCACUCUAUUUAUAUUAUCUCUAUGUAAAAGACAGUGUCUAAUUCAGAAGGUUAAAAGAGGGGGAAAGUUCACGGUAAAUCUGAGUGAUUUCACCACGGAGUAAUAAUAAGGAGACUGUACUACCAGUGAGAUACCGUGCCAAAUGUCUGCCUUGGUUCACUGAGUAGUAAAGACUUCUCAAAAAUAAAGCGCAUGCGCAGUUUGCAACUAUCUUCGUCACUCUUGAAAGAACGAUGAGAGAGAUCAUUAUUUUGACGUGCGAGUUAGAAAGUGUGGUUAUGUUUUAUUGUUGACAACAGCAACUAUACGGGAAAAUCAACAUUUAAAUAAGAAAAAAUAUUAAUUAACAAACUGCAAAGAGAAGAAGUGACGAAGAUAGUUGCAAACUGCACAUGCGCGUUAUUUUUUAAAAGUCAUUACUACUCAGUGAACCAAGGCAGAAAUCUGGCACCAGUUUGACUAGGGGAUACGCUGGAGAGCAGUCUCCUUAUUAUUACUCCGUGGAUUUCACCGAGUUUUUCCAUUCACGAAUCGCAAGUGGCAGUGACAGUAACCGUCAGAGAGCGCUACAUCUUGUAGAAAAUUAUGAUGAGUUUCCAUUCAUCGCCUAAAGGCGCUUGCACACUUCCAAAAUUUUGGGCGAGCAGCGAAUUUUCAUGGCCUUGAAACUCACAUUACUAAAUAUGAUUGGCUCUACAAAAAGC